rnacentral:lncRNA from 1 species
GAAGGCACAGCCCUGGAGAGGAGGAAGCUGAUAGGAUUUUAUAAGACCACAAAAGUCUGAAGGGGAUUUCAGUGAUAACGGAGACCACCUUCUCAGAGGAGGAAAGGAGAUCCAGAUGUUCUGAAGAAUUUUAUUUUGUUUCCCAGAAGCCUCAGCAAGAGAGAAAAGCUCCUCUCAGCCUGGACUUUCUGCAGAAGCACGGCCAGAAAUCAGACUCACAAAGAUCCUGUGAGAAGCUGAGGAGCCCUCUCUAUCAAAUUCCACUCACCAGGCCUGUGGUGAAUGACCCUUCCACGCUGACCCAGAAAAGCCUGGCCAAGUCAAGUGCAUGUACUCUGCUCAAGUCCACACCAUAAACCGAAGGUGAAUCCACCCUAGUGAUUUACCCAUUAAAAGGAAUCCUGAGUCUUUGAGGCUGAACUUUCUGAAGAGAGCAACAUUGCUUCUCCCCUGAGGAAAACCAACAUAAGACUCCCAGCAGCCUCAUCAGACCUAUAAGAACCCUGAGAAGGAGGGAGUGGCUGAAACUCAAAGCUGGUUCCUUCAGCAGAGAAGGGGAAAUCUGGGCAGAGACCCUGGAGCGCCACCCCAAGAGUGCAACCUCCAAUGCUUAGCCUGCUGCUGGUGCCCCCAGUCAGGAGACCAUUUCAGAAAAAGCCUGGUGUGAUGGUUAAUAUCAAGUGUCAACUUGAUCAGAUUGAAGAAGGCAAAGUAUUGUUCCUGGGUGUCUCUGUGAGGUUGUUGCCAAAGGAGAUUAACAUUUGAGUCAGUGGACUGGGAAAGGCAGACCCACCCUCAAUCCCGGUGGGCACCAUCAAAUCAGCUGCCAGCACAGCCAGAAUAAAAGCAGGCAGAAGAAUGUGGAAGGACUAGACUGGUUUAGUCUUCUGGCCUCCAUGUUUCUCCCGUGCUGGAUGUUUCCUGCCCUUGAACAUCGGGCUCCAAGUUCUUCAGCUUUUGGACUCUUGGACUUAUACCAGUGGUUUGCCAGGGGCUCUCAGGCCUUUGGCCACAGACUGAAGGGUACCCUGUCGGCUUCCCUACUUUUGAGGUUUGGGGACUCAGUCUGGCUUCCUUGCUCCUCAGCUUGCAGGUGGCCUAUGUGGGACCUCACCUUGUGAUUGUGCUGCCACAACAAAUUGCUACAAAGUGUGUGACUUCAUAGAACAAAAAUUAUCUCACAGUUCUGAAGAUCAAAAGCUUGAAAUCGAGAUCUUGGCAAGGUUGGUUCCUUCUGAAGGCUCCAUGCCUCUUCCUGGCACCUGGAGGCUGCCAGCAAGCCUGAGCAUGCCUUGGUCUGCAGCUCAAUGUAAUUGAGAUGUUAAUUACAUUUGCAAAAGCUCUCUUUCUAAAUAAGGUCACAUUCACACAUACCAGGGGUUAGAACUUGGACAUAUUUGGGUGGAGGGCAGACAUCAUUCAACCAACUUCACAGACAAGGGGUGAGGGAGGGUUCCAGCUGCCAAGUCUUCCACAGAGAUGGACAGGAAUCCAGGUGCUCUGUCUCAGAAGUGAGGAGGCCCAAACCAAAUAUCCAGGAGUGCAAGAAGCAGUUACAUGCAUCCUUGCUAAAGAAGUGGGAGCCAAGGAAAAGUACGUGCCAAUUCCCGAUUAAGCUUUUGGAUGAGCAGAGAUGACAGUUGCAUGAGCUAGAACAAUACAUGGACGGGAAGCAAAAUCAGCCGACCUGGGAGAGACAACAAACAGCUGGUCAUCCCCAAUGCCAGAGAGGGAAUGGCUUAAGGAAAACUUGGCCCAUGAUAUUUAAACCUCCAAAGGACAAUAAUGAAGUGGGAGGUUCAGGGCUAUUCUCUAGGAACCUCCUUUCAGGCACUCUCAUCUGCCACCACCCCCACCCCACCACUGCACAGGUUUAGAAGAUUCAAGACUCAUGGAAGGCUCGGGACAGGUGUCCUCAACCCUCCUCAUUGCAGGCUCAGGGGGACGCCUCGCCCUAGAUGGGGGAAGCAAUCAGGACCUCAAGUGGAGAGGGAGGCUUUCAGGAUGCUGAGGGCCAGCUGCACUGAUCUCUGUGAUUAGAAUAUGAUUCACUGCGAAAUGGGAGGUGGGAGGGAAGAUAGUUUCCAAAAAGGCUGCCCCCAGGUCUGUUGUUUGUGGAAGCAAAAGGAAAAGAGACAAAGCAAAGGCAGGAAUUAUGACUUAAUUAAGGAAAUGGGGCAAUGAAGAAAUCUGGCAGGAUAUAAGCAGUAGUCAUAAAUCACUAAAACCAACACUGCCACUCUUGUUCAGCAAUCCUCAGGCAGAGAAAAGAACAAGGCCUAUGUGAAAGAAACAAAGAAAGAUCCAAUGUUCUCAAAAAUAUGAAUCCACACAGCUUAAGGCUAAUAGGUUCAGUGAUGAAGAUUAGGGAGGU